rnacentral:tRNA from 1 species
GCCUGACUGGCUCAGUCAGAAGAGCAUGCGACUCUUGAUCGAGUGGAUGUGAGUUCAAGCCCCAUGCUGGGUG